CAAGUACUCCCUCCGUCCGGAAUUACUUGUCAUCAAAAUGGAUGAAAAUGGAUGUAUCUAAAACUAAAAUACAUCUAGAUACAUCUAUUUGAAUGACAAGUAUUUCCGGACGGAGGGAGUACAGG
rfam:Triticum aestivum genome assembly, contig: Triticum_aestivum_CS42_TGACv1_scaffold_019285_1AS